GCACAAGCGGUGGAGCAUGUGGUUCAAUUCGACGCAACGCGAAGAACCUUACCAGCUCUUGACAUGCCCGGUAUGGGGUCGAGAAAUCGACUCCUUCAGUUCGGCUGGCCGGUGCACAGGUGCUGCAUGGCUGUCGUCAGCUCGUGUCGUGAGAUGUUGGGUUAAGUCCCGCAACGAGCGCAACCCCCGUUUCUAGUUGCCAGCGAGUCAAGUCGGGCACUCUAGAAAGACUGCCGGUGCCAAACCGGAGGAAGGUGGGGAUGACGUCAAGUCAUCAUGGUCCUUACGUCUAGGGCUACACACGUGCUACAAUGAUCGGUACAGAGGGUUGCGAGCCAGCGAUGGUGAGCCAAUCCCAGAAAGCCGAUCUCAGUGCGAAUUGGAGGCUGCAACUCGCCUCCAUGAAGCUGGAAUCGCUAGUAAUCGUGGAUCAGCUACGCCACGGUGAAUACGUUCCCGGGC
rnacentral:rRNA from 1 species